rnacentral:rRNA from 1 species
UACGUAGGGGGCAAGCGUUGUCCGGAAUCAUUGGGCGUAAAGAGCGUGUAGGCGGCCUGGUAAGUCCGCUGUGAAAGUCCAGGGCUCAACCCUGGAAUGCCGGUGGAAACUGUCAGGCUCGAGUCCGGAAGAGGCGAGUGGAAUUCCUGGUGUAGCGGUGAAAUGCGCAGAUAUCAGGAGGAACACCAAUUGCGAAGGCAGCUCGCUGGGACGUAACUGACGCUGAGACGCGAAAGCGUGGGGAGCAAACAGG